UAGUCCAGUCAGUCUGUAAAUCGACCUCAAACAAAUUGCAACAGAAAAUAUUUUACCUGGUAUAGAAAGUAUAUGGAAUAACAUGAAUCAUAUCAAAAGUCUAGCAAAAUCUAAGUUGCGCAACAUAGAAAAAAACGGGUUUUUAUCGCGUUAUUUUUGUGAUUUUUUUCUGACGACAACGGUCUUCCAUAGGCUAACAAAGCGUCUCCGAUACUCAGAAUAGCGACUGCAUAAUGGCGACAACAACAACAAAAUAAGUGUAAACAAAAUAAAUGUCAGUAAAGUACACUGUAAAGUGGGUUGGUAUAUUUUCCUUAAAAUAUUACAGAUCAUAAUAGGAAUUAUUAAUGUGGGGUCGGGUACCGCUUUGAGGUAGUCUUCAUUGAUGUAUGCUUGAUUUUGAAAAUAAAAAAAAAUCCAGUAAACUAUAUGUACACUAAAUGAAUUUCAUCAACACACCAGAGCCAAUUGUUAUGCCCGAUCAUGUGUUCUGAGGACACUGUGAUGUAUA